GUCUACGGCCGCACCACCCCGAACGUGCCCCAUCUCGUCUGCGCUCGGAGCGAAGCGGGGUCGGGCCUGGUGAGUACCUGGAUGGGACUAGAGACGGGAACCCCUGGGGCAGGAAUGU
rnacentral:rRNA from 1 species